GCGGGUAUCGUAUAAUGGCUUUUAUGCUAGCCUUCCAAGCUGGAGAUGAGGGUUCAAUUCCCUCUACCCGCUCAA
rnacentral:tRNA from 3 species